GCCAAUGUGUUGUAGUGGUUUUGAGUGUUUGACUACAGCUCUGGAGACCAGGGUUCGAUUCCCCUCUCAGUCA